AAAGGCUCCAAUCGAAGCCAUUCAUGCUCUCCCGUAGCACUGAGUGGUCAAGUGCAAGCCAAGGUAAAAGACUUUCAUAGACGGUCACUGUUCAGUUGGAAAAAUAACUGCUCGAGCAACAUUUUGGUAAAGAACAUUA